rnacentral:lncRNA from 10 species
UGCAGUUUAUGGACUUUAGUGCAGGCCGCAGGCUUUGGAUCCAUCCUCCAAGAGCCCCAGAACCAGGCCUUCAGCAAAGUAUGUGCUCAAUAAACAUUUGAUGAAAGAGGGAAUGAAUGAAGGACAGAUGAAGUUCCGUCAGUCUGCACAACCCGAACCGCAUCGAAUCAAGAGUGUUUCUCCAAGUUCUAAACGUUGCAGAAUUUUCUUCCCUCGAGUUGACCCUGAAAGUGACCAUGUGCAAGAAGAGCUCCUUACCAGCUCCUGGAUUUUUGUGUCCUCUGAAGUGCCUAUUCUCAUUCACCAGGGGUAGCUGCAGCUGGUUUUGUGCAACUCAGAAGGCUGGCCCUGGCUCUCAUUACCUGACCAUGGGGAUAUUAGUUAAAACACAGGUUUUAACUAGACCCCACAGUGUCUAAGUUUUCGAUGGGCUUUGUAGCUAUUUCGACGUGACAGGUUCUCCCUUCCCUUUACAAAAAUAAACCCACUAAGAUU